rnacentral:lncRNA from 1 species
CUUUCAUUCAGCUAGGCAAAAAGGCUUCGAGCAGCCCCACAAUUGCCUUUCUCUCAUUUAUUUGUGCUAGAAUUAAGGUUUAUUUGUUUUCUGUUUUCCUCUCCUUCAGACUGUUCCUCUGUCUUUAUCCAUUUAACAAACUGUUUCCUCCUGUAUCUCAGAAGGCUUCACACGGAUAGGGCCUACAUCUGUCUGCAGUCUGCCUACCUUCUUCUUUUGAGUGCAUUUCUCUCAACUCAUUUUGCUGGAGCUCCUAAAUAUCUCUCAAGAUAAACCGCAUGAAUGAGAAUUCUGAUUGGCCAUGGAUAUACCUGGUCCCAGAGGAAAAGGAAGUCUCGUUAAGCAUGUCCUGGGACAAGGGGUCUUUCUGGGACUACAAAUGGUCUCAUGCAGGAUAACAUGCUGCUGUCUCAAAGGGAUGCCUCCGGGCCAUGGUUCUUCCCUGUGGCUCUUGGUUCAGAAAGCUGAGGAGGGCCUGAGAGACUGAAGACCAGCAAAGACAGGAUCGACUAAAUGCCUUCACCUUCCUCUCAAGUUGGAGAUAAAAACCUUGAAUUCUUUUCGGUAUGCUUAGUUUCUGCCUUUUUUUUUUUUUUUUUUUUUCACUU